rnacentral:tRNA from 1 species
AACUUAGUAUUGUAUAUAACAUAUUAAACUGUAAAUUUAGAGAAACGUAAGUCUAAGUUA